UUCCUCAUUACAGGUAAAGUGCAUUGCUGCUUCUAUUACUAAAAGACAUGCAUAAUUCAAGUAAGGCUUUACAAACCCAUUGGAUGUCUAAUGUAGAAGUCACCCUUUGUCCCAACAUAACAUGGCACCCACCACCACUAUUUCUGUGAUCCCCAGGAGAUGGAGUCUGCAGGCUGGUUUUUCUUGCUGAAAUAGGAGGACUUACCUUACCCUACACUGUCUAAUGUGGGCUGGUGUCUAGAGCAGCC
rnacentral:lncRNA from 1 species